UACGAAGGGGGCUAGCGUUGCUCGGAAUCACUGGGCGUAAAGCGCACGUAGGCGGCUUUUUUAAGUCAGGGGUGAAAUCCUGGAGCUCAACUCCAGAACUGCCUUUGAUACUAGAAGCUCGAGUCCGGGAGAGGGUGAGUGGAACUGCGAGUGUAGAGGUGAAAAUUCGUAGAUAUUCGCAAGAACACCAGUGGCGAAGGCGGCUCACUGGCCCGGUACUGACGCUGAGGUGCGAAACGUGGGGAGCAAACAGGG
rnacentral:rRNA from 1 species